AGGUCAUUAUGAUGGUAGUUCUUCAAAAAGCCUUUGUAUCUUUCCCAUGCCUCAUAGAGUGACUCAACUCCUUUUUGUUUGAAGUUUUCAAUGGCUUUCUUUAACUU